GACGAACGCUGGCGGCGUGCUUAACACAUGCAAGUCGAACGGAAAGGCCCUGCUUUUGUGGGGUGCUCGAGUGGCGAACGGGUAAGUAACACGUGAGUAACCUGCCCUUGACUUUGGGAUAACUUCAGGAAACUGGGGCUAAUACCGGAUAGGAGCUCCUGCUGCAUGGUGGGGGUUGGAAAGUUUCGGCGGUUGGGGAUGGACUCGCAGCUUAUCAGCUUGUUGGUGGGGUAGUGGCUUACCAAGGCUUUGACGGGUAGCCGGCCUGAGAGGGUGACCGGCCACAUUGGGACUGAGAUACGGCCCAGACUCCUACGGGAGGCAGCAGUGGGGAAUAUUGCACAAUGGGCGGAAGCCUGAUGCAGCAACGCCGCGUGCGGGAUGACGGCCUUCGGGUUGUAAACCGCUUUCGCCUGUGACGAAGCGUGAGCGACGGUAAUGGGUAAAGAAGCACCGGCUAACUACGUG
rnacentral:rRNA from 1 species